GGUUGAGUAUGUGCGGAUCGGGCU
rnacentral:siRNA from 1 species